rnacentral:ncRNA from 2 species
CUCUUAUCAAGACUCGGUGGAGAGACGAGCUCUAUGAAGCCGGGGCAACCUGCAGUUUGAUUCCUUAUAAUGGAAAUCACGCAAAGGUGCUAACUUGAUGCAAGGUUAUAAUGCCUUGAACGAUGAGAG